rnacentral:rRNA from 1 species
CGGGACUGCCCGUGGAGAGGAGGUAGUAGAUGUGGUAAUGCUCCUCCGGGGUUUAACGUGUAUGGUAAAUUACUGUUAUCUUGAUUCCUACGUGGAUACUGUGGUAUUCUAGAGCUAAUACAUGCACCAAAGCUCCGAAUUUUUGACGAGCGCAUCUAUAGAUUAAAACCAAUCGGGUUUCGGCCCGUUUGUUGGUGACUCUGAAUAACUAUGGCUGAUCGCAUGGUCACGAACCGGCGACGUGUCUUCAGUGUCUGCCUUAUCACUUUCGAUGGUAGUUUUGUGCCUCCAUGGUUGUACGGGAACGGAAAUAGGGUUCACUCCGGAAAGGGACCUGAGAAAGGCACGCGUGCCGGAAGAGAGGCCCAAUACAAUCUGGGUGAGAGGGGACAAAAUACAGCCUUCCUUUAGGCGGAUGAAGGUCAUUUACCCUAGAGGUUUAAGGCCGCCGGGCCCCCGGUAUUUUCUUCAAGGUUCCCCCGGGGGAAACCCGAAAAACACUGGCCCCCCCCCCCUCCAAAGGUCGGGGACCCCGCUCCCCCCCCCCGGAAGGGGGGGGGGGCCUUUUAAAAAAACCCCCCCCUUUUUGCUGGGGGGGGGGGGAACCCCCCUUUUUUUCGCAUAAAAAAACGGGGCCUCUCUUUCCUGGGAUUUUUGCCCGGGCACCUGUCCCUCCUCUAUACACAGGGGAAUUUUGCUCUGCCAGACGUGCGUGUGGGACUGCCGGUGCGUGCGAGCCCCUUCGUGGUCAGCCCGCGUUUAUACGGCUCGUAGCGUGUAUGAAUUUUGUGAUGGCGUCGUAAACUGCACAUUCUCCUCGGGUGUUUAUCCCCCGUACUGUAUCCCCGAAGAUCG